GCGUAACAGCUCACUAGUCGAGCGAUUGAGCAUGGAUAAUAAUCGGGCAUAAAGUAUAUUACCGAAGCUAUGGAAUUGUUAGCAAUAACAAAUUGGUAGGGGAGCAUUCUAGUCAGCGUUGAAGGUGUAUCGUAAGGUAUGCUGGAGCGUCUAGAAAAGAAAAUGUAGGAAUAAGUAACGAUAAGGCAGGCGAGAAACCUGCCCACCGAUAGACUAAGGUUUCCUGAUCAACGCUAAUCGGAUCAGGGUUAGUCGGGACCUAAGGCGAACCCGAAAGGGGUAGUCGAUGGAUAACAGGUUAAUAUUCCUGUACUAGCAUAUAUUGCGAUGGGGUGACGGAGUAGUGAAAGGUCUGCGUACUGACGGAAUA
rnacentral:rRNA from 1 species